rnacentral:rRNA from 1 species
GGAUUAGGCAUGCAAGUCGAACGAGGGAGCAUUCCGAAAGGGAUGCAAACCGAGUGGCGUAAGGGUGAGUAAUGCAUUGAUAACCUACCUCCAAGAUGGGAAUAACAACGUUCCAAGCAAUUGGGGCUACCGAAAGGGUUGCUAAUACUCAAUAAAAUUAUUGUUGCUUCGGCAAUAAUAGUCAAAUAGGCGGAAUCGAAAGGUUCCGCUUGCUUGAAGAGGGGUCAGUGUCCUAUCAGCUAGUUGGUGGGGUAAUAGCCCACCAAGGCGAAGACGGGUAGCCGGCCUGAGAGGGUGGUCGGCCACACUGGGACUGAGAUACUGCCCAGACUCCUACGGGAGGCUGCAGUCGAGAAUCUUUCGCAAUGCCCGAAAGGGUGACGAAGCGACGCCGCGUGCGGGAGGAAGGCCUUCGGGUUGUAAACCGCUGUCGGGAGUUAAGAAAUGCAAGGAUGUUAAUAGCGUUCUUGCUUGACUAAGGCUCCGGAGGAAGCCACGGCUAACUCUGUGCCAGCAGCCGCGGUAAUACAGAGGCGGCAAGCGUUGUUCGGAAUUAUUGGGCGUAAAGAGCACGUAGGCGGCUGUGUAAGUCGGUUGUGAAAGCCUUCCGCUCAACGGAAGAACGGCAUCCGAUACUGCAUAGCUUGAGUGUGGGAGGGGAGAGUGGAACUUCUGGUGGAGCGGUGAAAUGCGUAGAUAUCAGAAGGAACACCGGCGGCGAAGGCGACUCUCUGGUCCAUAACUGACGCUGAGUGUGCGAAAGCUAGGGGAGCAAACGGGAUUAGAUACCCCGGUAGUCCUAGCCGUAAACGAUGGGCACUAAGUAGAGGGGUUUU